GACGAACGCUGGCGGCGUGCUUAACACAUGCAAGUCGAACGAAGUGGCGAACGGGUGAGUAAUACGUGAGUAACCUGCCCUCUUCUUUGGGAUAACGGUCGGAAACGGCUGCUAAUACUGGAUAGUGGGGGAUGGGCUCGCGGCCUAUCAGCUUGUUGGUGGGGUGAUGGCCUACCAAGGCUUUGACGGGUAACCGGCCUGAGAGGGUGACCGGUCACAUUGGGACUGAGAUAAGGCCCAGAGUCCGACGGGAGGGGGAAGUGGGGGAAAUUGCACAAUGGGCGCAAGCCUGAUGCAGCGACGCCGCGUGAGGGAUGAAGGCCUUCGGGUUGUAAACCUUUUUCGCUCAGGGUCGGGUAGUGGGUAAAGAAGCGCCGGCUAACUACGUGCCAGCCGCCGCGGUAAUAC
rnacentral:rRNA from 1 species